ACGGGUGAGUAAUAUAUCGGAACGUGCCCUGGAGUGGGGGAUAGCUCGGCGAAAGCCGGAUUAAUACCGCAUACGAUCUAAGGAUGAAAGUGGGGGACCGCAAGGCCUCACGCUCCUGGAGCGGCCGAUAUCUGAUUAGCUAGUUGGUGGGGUAAAAGCCCACCAAGGCGACGAUCAGUAGCUGGUCUGAGAGGACGACCAGCCACACUGGGACUGAGACACGGCCCAGACUCCUACGGGAGGCAGCAGUGGGGAAUUUUGGACAAUGGGGGAAACCCUGAUCCAGCAAUGCCGCGUGUGUGAAGAAGGCCUUCGGGUUGUAAAGCACUUUUGUUCGGAAAGAAAUCGCUUUGGCUAAUAUCCAGGGUGGAUGACGGUACCGGAAGAAUAAGCACCGGCUAACUACGUGCCAGCAGCCGCGGUAAUACGUAGGGUGCAAGCGUUAAUCGGAAUUACUGGCGUAAAGCGUGCGCAGGCGGUUGUGCAAGACAGAGGUGAAAUCCCCGAGCUUAACUUGGGAACUGCCUUUGUGACUGCACGGCUAGAGUGUGUCAGAGGGGGGUAGAAUUCCACGUGUAGCAGUG
rnacentral:rRNA from 1 species